rnacentral:rRNA from 1 species
GUGGGGAAUAUUGGACAAUGGGCGAAAGCCUGAUCCAGCCAUGCCGCGUGUGUGAAGAAGGUCUUCGGAUUGUAAAGCACUUUAAGUUGGGAGGAAGGGCAGUAAGUUAAUACCUUGCUGUUUUGACGUUACCGACAGAAUAAGCACCGGCUAACUUCGUGCCAGCAGCCGCGGUAAUACGAAGGGUGCAAGCGUUAAUCGGAAUUACUGGGCGUAAAGCGCGCGUAGGUGGUUUUGUAAGUUGGAGAUGAAAUCCCCGGGCUCAACCUGGGAACUGCCUCCAAAACUGCAUGACUAGAGUACGGUAGAGGGUAGUGGAAUUUCCUGUGUAGCGGUGAAAUGCGUAGAUAUAGGAAGGAACACCAGUGGCGAAGGCGGCUACCUGGACUGAUACUGACACUGAGGUGCGAAAGCGUGGGGAGCAAACAGGAUUAGAAACCCGGGUAGUCC